rnacentral:rRNA from 1 species
AAUGGGCGAAAGCCUGAUCCAGCAAUGCCGCGUGGGUGAAGAAGGUCUUCGGAUUGUAAAGCCCUUUCGACGGGGACGAUGAUGACGGUACCCGUAGAAGAAGCCCCGGCUAACUUCGUGCCAGCAGCCGCGGUAAUACGAAGGGGGCUAGCGUUACUCGGAUUGACUGGGCGUAAAGGGCGCGUAGGCGGCUUGCACAGUCAGACGUGAAAUUCCUGGGCUCAACCUGGGGGCUGCGUUUGAUACGUAUGGGCUUGAGUUCGGAAGAGGGUCGUGGAAUUCCCAGUGUAGAGGUGAAAUUCGUAGAUAUUGGGAAGAACACCGGUGGCGAAGGCGGCGACCUGGUCCGAUACUGACGCUGAGGCGCGAAAGCGUGGGGAGCAAACAGGAUUAGAUACCCUGGUAGUCCACGCUGUAAACGAUGUGCGCUGGAUGUUGGGUGACAUAGUCACUCAGUGUCGUAGCUAACGUGAUAAGCGCACCGCCUGGGGAGUACG